GUUAGGAAUAUUGGACAAUGGGCGCAAGCCUGAUCCAGCCAUGUCGCGUGAGUGAUGAAGGCCUUCGGGUUGUAAAGCUCUUUAGCCGAUGAUUAUAAUGACUGUAGUCGGAAAAUAAGCCCCGGCUAACUUCGUGCCAGCAGCCGCGGUAAUACGAAGGGGGCGAGCGUUAUUCGGAAUCACUGGGCGUAAAGCGUGCGUAGGCGGCUUUGCAAGUUGGGAGUGAAAGCCCAGGGCUCAACCCUGGAAUUGCUCUCAAAACUGCAAGGCUCGAAUUCGGGAGAGGAUAGCGGAAUUGUCAGUGUAGCAGUGAAAUGCGUAGAUAUUGACAGGAACACCAGUGGCGUAAGCGGCUAUCUGGACCGAUAUUGACGCUGAGGCACGAAAGCGUGGGGAUCAAACAGGAUUAGAAACCCCAGUAGUCC
rnacentral:rRNA from 1 species